AGGAUGAACGCUGGCGGCGUGCCUAAUACAUGCAAGUCGAGCGAACGGACGAGAAGCUUGCUUCUCUGAUGUUAGCGGCGGACGGGUGAGUAACACGUGGAUAACCUACCUAUAAGACUGGGAUAACUUCGGGAAACCGGAGCUAAUACCGGAUAAUAUUUUGAACCGCAUGGUUCAAAAGUGAAAGACGGUCUUGCUGUCACUUAUAGAUGGAUCCGCGCUGCAUUAGCUAGUUGGUAAGGUAACGGCUUACCAAGGCAACGAUGCAUAGCCGACCUGAGAGGGUGAUCGGCCACACUGGAACUGAGACACGGUCCAGACUCCUACGGGAGGCAGCAGUAGGGAAUCUUCCGCAAUGGGCGAAAGCCUGACGGAGCAACGCCGCGUGAGUGAUGAAGGUCUUCGGAUCGUAAAACUCUGUUAUUAGGGAAGAACAUAUGUGUAAGUAACUGUGCACAUCUUGACGGUACCUAAUCAGAAAGCCACGGCUAACUACGUGCCAGCAGCCGCGGUAAUACGUAGGUGGCAAGCGUUAUCCGGAAUUAUUGGGCGUAAAGCGCGCGUAGGCGGUUUUUUAAGUCUGAUGUGAAAGCCCACGGCUCAACCGUGGAGGGUCAUUGGAAACUGGAAAACUUGAGUGCAGAAGAGGAAAGUGGAAUUCCAUGUGUAGCGGUGAAAUGCGCAGAGAUAUGGAGGAACACCAGUGGCGAAGGCGACUUUCUGGUCUGUAACUGACGCUGAUGUGCGAAAGCGUGGGGAUCAAACAGGAUUAGAUACCCUGGUAGUCCACGCCGUAAACGAUGAGUGCUAAGUGUUAGGGGGUUUCCGCCCCUUAGUGCUGCAGCUAACGCAUUAAGCACUCCGCCUGGGGAGUACGACCGCAAGGUUGAAACUCAAAGGAAUUGACGGGGACCCGCACAAGCGGUGGAGCAUGUGGUUUAAUUCGAAGCAACGCGAAGAACCUUACCAAAUCUUGACAUCCUUUGACAACUCUAGAGAUAGAGCCUUCCCCUUCGGGGGACAAAGUGACAGGUGGUGCAUGGUUGUCGUCAGCUCGUGUCGUGAGAUGUUGGGUUAAGUCCCGCAACGAGCGCAACCCUUAAGCUUAGUUGCCAUCAUUAAGUUGGGCACUCUAAGUUGACUGCCGGUGACAAACCGGAGGAAGGUGGGGAUGACGUCAAAUCAUCAUGCCCCUUAUGAUUUGGGCUACACACGUGCUACAAUGGACAAUACAAAGGGUAGCGAAACCGCGAGGUCAAGCAAAUCCCAUAAAGUUGUUCUCAGUUCGGAUUGUAGUCUGCAACUCGACUACAUGAAGCUGGAAUCGCUAGUAAUCGUAGAUCAGCAUGCUACGGUGAAUACGUUCCCGGGUCUUGUACACACCGCCCGUCACACCACGAGAGUUUGUAACACCCGAAGCCGGUGGAGUAACCUUUUAGGAGCUAGCCGUCGAAGGUGGGACAAAUGAUUGGGGUG
rnacentral:rRNA from 2 species